rnacentral:rRNA from 1 species
GAUGAACGCUGGCGGCGUGCCUAAUACAUGCAAGUCGAGCGAACGGACGAGAGGCUUGCUUCUCUGAUGUUAGCGGCGGACGGGUGAGUAACACGUGGAUAACCUACCUAUAAGACUGGGAUAACUUCGGGAAACCGGAGCUAAUACCGGAUAAUAUUUUGAACCGCAUGGUUCAAAAGUGAAAGACGGUCUUGCUGUCACUUAUAGAUGGAUCCGCGCUGCAUUAGCUAGUUGGUAAGGUAACGGCUUACCAAGGCAACGAUGCAUAGCCGACCUGAGAGGGUGAUCGGCCACACUGGAACUGAGACACGGUCCAGACUCCUACGGGAGGCAGCAGUAGGGAAUCUUCCGCAAUGGGCGAAAGCCUGACGGAGCAACGCCGCGUGAGUGGUGAAGGUCUUCGGAUCGUAAAACUCUGUUAUUAGGGAAGAACAUAUGUGUAAGUAACUGUGCACAUCUUGACGGUACCUAAUCAGAAAGCCACGGCUAACUACGUG